rnacentral:lncRNA from 11 species
CACGUCUCAUUCUGGCCGGAUCAGACACCAAAGGAUAUACCCAGCUUCAAAUGUUCUUCUUCAUGUUGCUGGAUUUGGAGUGGCAAUACACUUUAAGGUGGCAAGGAUACAGAAGCUCUUUCGGAAAAAAAAACCCAGUGGCAAUUCUGAAACAACUGCUUCAGCUCUACAGUCCAAUAUCCAACCAACAACAUAACUUUUAUUUCAAGUAA